CUUCAGACCAGGACAGGGGUCCAGGUCCACCAUCAGGCUUCCACUGACUGAUGGGAAAAUGAGACAAACACAGAGGUAGAUGUUAGUAGCAGGCCUUGACUGAAAGCCCUAAACCAAGCCUGACAACCACAGCUUCAUCCGCCUCUUCAACUGUCUCCAAACUCCAAACCCCAAAAUCCAAGCUCCAGGCCCUGCUCUCUUUAUUUGGGUACCAUCGACCAGAUGAAACACAAGAAAGGACUAGAAGUGAGAACUAGAGCGCAAGCGCAAACGAAAAAAAAAAAAGCCGUACCUGGGCCAGGGGCGACAACUAGAUUGAUCACCAGAUGGCGUCAGGAAACUUGGCUUCAAAAACCACAUCUGUCCUACAGAGAGGAAAUUUUCUAUCCUGAUGACGUUUCCAAGAAUAUUGGCCACUGAAAGCCGUUUUCCAAGAGGAAUUCCAGCUACUGUUUUGUGUGGAAAAGACCUAGAGUGGAUGGCCUCCAAUGGUCAGCUUUAAGGAAGAAUCCACAUUUGGAUGGAUGAAUUUCUACGUUGCUCAAUUCACUAUUGUGCCUUCUCCCACAACCAAGAAAACUAUUUAAACAAAACUGAUCAACUGUGAGAAUUUAUUUUUCAUAUACUGUAUUAACUCUUAUUAUCAGGGCCUUGUAAUAGAAAGGUCUCAAUUCCUGUAUAUUAGAAAGAAUUAGAAUAUAUUUCUCUGACUGGGUCCUGGGCCAGAGAUUCUAUCCAGUCCAUUGUUUUUUUCAUCUUCUUUGUUCUUAGGAAUCCUUUUCAACUAAUUUGGUUAAUAAAUGAAGGGGACAAGUAUUCUUUUCCUAUGAACCUGUUCCCCAUGACAUAGAGCUGGGAAGGGGUGGAUAGUUUGAUGAACCAUCUCUUAAUUAGAUAUUUACCAAUUAGAGAUGUCUUGAGAUGUUCAAGGUUGGGGCUGAACAGUGAGUUCCUAAAACUCUAAUUUAUUGAUCUGCCUGAUGGAGAUUUGGAGUCUUUGGUCAUCACAAGGGCCUCUGACCAAUGUCACUUUAUCAGUUAUGAUGCUGGCCUAAUCAAUAACCUGAUAUUUCUUACCCAAAAUCAGUCCCAUAACCAAACAAAGCAUCCACUAAUGGCAGCUUAUUCAACAUUCAGUAUCUGUAGUCUCUCCUUACAAUGCUCUUUCCAAUGUACCUCCAAAUUGUGUCUUUUACCUUCCAUUCAUUCCUAUGCCAUGAAAAAUUACUACCACAAGUGUUUUUUAUUCAAAGAUAUUUUAUUU